rnacentral:lncRNA from 1 species
AAAAGGCCACGAACGACGCGCCUGCUGAGGGUGAGAAGCUGUGCGUGGAGCUUAAAAAGCACCUGCGUAAGGCAAUGCCAGUGGGCUGGGAUGUUGUGACACCGCGGAAGAGAGCCAGUUGUUACUAGCGGUUAGCAAACGGGUCGAAGCGGAGAAGGCGAUGGUAGGAAAAUCGGGCAAGUCGUUUGCAGCCAAGCAGCAUAAUGGGGGAGGUCGGUCGCGUUUUGCAGGCCCCAGCCUCCUGCCCAUCCCGCAGCCGAGUUUCGGUACGGGCUCAGGCGGGCGCAGGUCCGAUGUGUGCCUGGCUCGCCCCCUCCCAAGGAAGCAAGCACAACUCUCCUGCCUGCAGGUAACCCUCCGUCUGUACGACCCCUAAGCGGUAAGGGAACUACUCAAUAAAGCAAUCAUUGCUUUCUGACUAAUAACAAUCCACGCCGUACAGUACGUCUUCCAAUGCAGCGAAGUUUCAGGUUCCGGGCCGUCUUUUAAGGAGUCCUCUGCGCAGAAGAGCUCUAACGCCCUCGACCAGUGUCAAGCAGUGGCCUAAUUCGCUCCUAUGUUCUCUCAGUACCGCCGCUGGCACUACUACUGGUCCGAGCCUCCCCUGGUGCCCUGUAACCCUCCCGAGUUAUGAAAAGGAAACUUGGAAAUGAAGAGAGCUCACUUGUGCGAAUUAGCUCGGAAUUCUCAACCAGCCAAUCAGCGUCAGCACCUCCUGUGUAAGACAAUUGAACUCCCUUGAAACUUUUUGACUCCCACGAGUGUUUUGUUUUUGGGCGGGGCCCCAGCGCGAAGCGCCCAGGGGGGCCCCGACCUGUAGGAUUGCCCAUGUCCGUGUGUGUGUGUGUGUGUGUGUGUCUGUAACGGACCAAACAUAAUAUCUCGCCCGGCUGAAACGCGUUAUAGGUACUAUACAGCAUCCUCUAUUGCAAGGUAUUUCGCAUGUAGCCAACAAAAAUUGUAAGAGCGCAAACAAGUUUGGCUGCCUCAAUUGACCGAGGCCAAAGUCACAUCAACGCCUCUCGCGCUAAAUUUCAUCCCGAAAGGUACCGCGUAUCUCAUAUUUGAAUUCUUAGAUGACGGCGUAUGAUAACUCGAACUCCCAGGCCUUGAGUGUGUAACGGACCAAACAUAAUAUUUCACCCGGCUGAAACGCGUUAUCGGUACUAUACAGCAUUCUCUAUUGCAAGGUAUCUCGCAUGUAGCUAACAAAGACCGUAUGAGCACAAACAAGUUUAGCUGCCUCCAUUCACCGACCUCAAAAG